UCAACGCCAGAGUACAUGGCGUUGUUAUGUUGGUGCUUAGUAUAAGUCCACAUGAGAAGAAAGCUCAUGUAAAAGAAGACGAACUAUUUAAGAAAAGAAUCGAAGAAUACAGAUAUAUAUCCUAUCCAUCAACGAAAGAGUCACUGAAAGUCUGAAAGCAGUUGUCUAGAUAAGUUUGAACAUUUACACAUUUAUGUUAUAACGAUUAUAUCAAAAUUAUUAGUAUAUUAAAUAAAUAUUUUAAGAAUUGACAACAA